rnacentral:rRNA from 1 species
UACAGAGGUCUCAAGCGUUGUUCGGAUUCAUUGGGCGUAAAGGGUGCGUAGGCGGCGCGGUAAGUCGGGUGUGAAAUCUCGGAGCUUAACUCCGAAACUGCAUUCGAUACUGCCGUGCUUGAGGACUGGAGAGGAGACUGGAAUUUACGGUGUAGCGGUGAAAUGCGUAGAUAUCGUAAGGAAGACCAGUGGCGAAGGCGGGUCUCUGGACAGUUCCUGACGCUGAGACGCGAAAGCGUGGGUAGCAAACAGG